rnacentral:rRNA from 1 species
UACGUAGGGGGCAAGCGUUGUCCGGAGUUACUGGGCGUAAAGCGCACGCAGGCGGUCUCUUAAGUUUGGAGUGACAGUUGGUGGCUUAACUGCCAAAGUGCUUCGAAAACUGAGAGACUUGAGGGCUUCAGAGGGACACGGAAUUCCGGGUGGAGUGGUGAAAUGCGUAGAGAUCGUAAGGAAGACCAGUGGCGAAGGCGAGUUUCUGGACGGUAACUGACGCUGAGGCACGAAGGCCAGGGGAGCAAACGGG